rnacentral:rRNA from 1 species
UGGGGAAUAUUGCGCAAUGGGGGAAACCCUGACGCAGCAACGCCGCGUGCGGGAUGAAGGCUUUCGGGUUGUAAACCGCUUUCAGCAGGGAAGAUAGUGACGGUACCUGCAGAAGAAGCCCCGGCUAAAUACGUGCCAGCAGCCGCGGUAAUACGUAUGGGGCGAGCGUUAUCCGGAUUCAUUGGGCGUAAAGCGCGCGCAGGCGGGCUGCUAAGCGGGACCUCUAAUCUCGGGGCUCAACCCCGAGCCGGGUUCCGAACUGGCAGCCUCGGGUUCGGUAGGGGUAGGCGGAAUUCCCGGUGUAGCGGUGGAAUGCGCAGAUAUCGGGAAGAACACCGAUGGCGAAGGCAGCCUACUGGGCCGCAACCGACGCUGAGGCGCGAAAGCUGGGGGAGCGAACAGG